UGGAGGGGCCAGGUGCCUGGAUAAAUAGCCAUGCAAAUAGAGAGAAUUCUUCCGAAAAACAAUAAAUAUUUACAUCGCUACCUACGUCUGUGAGAAGCAAACUGAUAGGACGGUUGAAUAGAAAUGACGAGACAAUCUCACUCAGGAUAGCGGGCUACCCAGCCCAGAUACGAACCGAUCACCUCUCGAGUACAAGAGGAGCAAAAUUACUCGGGUGACUGAACAAGAAAUGGCGAGAAGACUUCAUACUGAUUUCAAGUGCUAGUUUCUGUGUUGAGAUCCGUUGCUAGGAGA